rnacentral:rRNA from 1 species
GGUUAAGCGACUAAGCGUACACGGUGGAUGCCCUGGCAGUCAGAGGCGAUGAAGGACGUGCUAAUCUGCGAUAAGCGUCGGUAAGGUGAUAUGAACCGUUAUAACCGGCGAUUUCCGAAUGGGGAAACCCAGUGUGAUUCGUCACACUAUCAUUACGUGAAUACAUAGCGUAAUGAAGCGAACCGGGGGAACUGAAACAUCUAAGUACCCCGAGGAAAAGAAAUCAACCGAGAUUCCCCCAGUAGCGGCGAGCGAACGGGGAGCAGCCCAGAGUCUGAAUCAGCUUGUGUGUUAGUGGAACGGUCUGGAAAGUCCGACGGUACAGGGUGAUAGUCCCGUACACCAAAAUGCACAGGUUGUGAACUCGAAGAGUAGGGCGGGACACGUGGUAUCCUGUCUGAAUAUGGGGGGACCAUCCUCCAAGGCUAAAUACUCCUGACUGACCGAUAGUGAACCAGUACCGUGAGGGAAAGGCGAAAAGAACCCCGGCGAGGGGAGUGAAAAAGAACCUGAAACCGUGUACGUACAAGCAGUGGGAGCAUCCUUUUGGGUGUGACUGCGUACCUUUUGUAUAAUGGGUCAGCGACUUAUAUUCUGUAGCAAGGUUAACCGUAUAGGGGAGCCGAAGGGAAACCGAGUCUUAACUGGGCGUUAAGUUGCAGGGUAUAGACCCGAAACCCGGUGAUCUAGCCAUGGGCAGGUUGAAGGUUGGGUAACACUAACUGGAGGACCGAACCGACUAAUGUUGAAAAAUUAGCGGAUGACUUGUGGCUGGGGGUGAAAGGCCAAUCAAACCGGGAGAUAGCUGGUUCUCCCCGAAAGCUAUUUAGGUAGCGCCUCGUGAAUUCAUCUUCGGGGGUAGAGCACUGUUUCGGCUAGGGGGUCAUCCCGACUUACCAACCCGAUGCAAACUGCGAAUACCGAAGAAUGUUAUCACGGGAGACACACGGCGGGUGCUAACGUCCGUCGUGAAGAGGGAAACAACCCAGACCGCCAGCUAAGGUCCCAAAGUCAUGGUUAAGUGGGAAACGAUGUGGGAAGGCACAGACAGCCAGGAUGUUGGCUUAGAAGCAGCCAUCAUUUAAAGAAAGCGUAAUAGCUCACUGGUCGAGUCGGCCUGCGCGGAAGAUGUAACGGGGCUAAACCAUGCACCGAAGCUGCGGCAGCGACACUAUGUGUUGUUGGGUAGGGGAGCGUUCUGUAAGCCGUUGAAGGUGUAUCGUGAGGUAUGCUGGAGGUAUCAGAAGUGCGAAUGCUGACAUAAGUAACGAUAAUGCGGGUGAAAAACCCGCACGCCGGAAGACCAAGGGUUCCUGUCCAACGUUAAUCGGGGCAGGGUGAGUCGACCCCUAAGGCGAGGCCGAAAGGCGUAGUCGAUGGGAAACAGGUUAAUAUUCCUGUACUUGGUGUUACUGCGAAGGGGGGACGGAGAAGGCUAUGUUAGCCGGGCGACGGUUGUCCCGGUUUAAGCAUGUAGGCGGAGGUUCCAGGUAAAUCCGGUACCUUUUUAACGCUGAGGUGUGAUGACGAGGCACUACGGUGCUGAAGUAACAAAUGCCCUGCUUCCAGGAAAAGCCUCUAAGCAUCAGGUAACACGAAAUCGUACCCCAAACCGACACAGGUGGUCAGGUAGAGAAUACCAAGGCGCUUGAGAGAACUCGGGUGAAGGAACUAGGCAAAAUGGUGCCGUAACUUCGGGAGAAGGCACGCUGAUAUGUAGGUGAAGUGAUUUACUCAUGGAGCUGAAAUCAGUCGAAGAUACCAGCUGGCUGCAACUGUUUAUUAAAAACACAGCACUGUGCAAACACGAAAGUGGACGUAUACGGUGUGACGCCUGCCCGGUGCCGGAAGGUUAAUUGAUGGGGUUAUCCGUAAGGAGAAGCUCUUGAUCGAAGCCCCGGUAAACGGCGGCCGUAACUAUAACGGUCCUAAGGUAGCGAAAUUCCUUGUCGGGUAAGUUCCGACCUGCACGAAUGGCGUAAUGAUGGCCAGGCUGUCUCCACCCGAGACUCAGUGAAAUUGAACUCGCUGUGAAGAUGCAGUGUACCCGCGGCAAGACGGAAAGACCCCGUGAACCUUUACUAUAGCUUGACACUGAACACUGGUCCUUGAUGUGUAGGAUAGGUGGGAGGCUUUGAAGUGUGGACGCCAGUCUGCAUGGAGCCAUCCUUGAAAUACCACCCUUUAAUGGCUGGUGUUCUAACGUGGACCCGUAAUCCGGGUUGCGGACAGUGUCUGGUGGGUAGUUUGACUGGGGCGGUCUCCUCCUAAAGAGUAACGGAGGAGCACGAAGGUUAGCUAAUCCUGGUCGGACAUCAGGAGGUUAGUGCAAAGGCAUAAGCUAGCUUGACUGCGAGAGUGACGGCUCGAGCAGGUGCGAAAGCAGGUCUUAGUGAUCCGGUGGUUCUGAAUGGAAGGGCCAUCGCUCAACGGAUAAAAGGUACUCCGGGGAUAACAGGCUGAUACCGCCCAAGAGUUCAUAUCGACGGCGGUGUUUGGCACCUCGAUGUCGGCUCAUCACAUCCUGGGGCUGAAGUAGGUCCCAAGGGUAUGGCUGUUCGCCAUUUAAAGUGGUACGCGAGCUGGGUUUAGAACGUCGUGAGACAGUUCGGUCCCUAUCUGCCGUGGGCGCUGGAGAAUUGAGGGGGGCUGCUCCUAGUACGAGAGGACCGGAGUGGACGCAUCACUGGUGUUCGGGUUGUCAUGCCAAUGGCAUUGCCCGGUAGCUAAAUGCGGAAGAGAUAAGUGCUGAAAGCAUCUAAGCACGAAACUUGCCCCGAGAUGAGUUCUCCCUGAGACUUUAAGUCUCCUGAAGGAACGUUGAAGACGACGACGUUGAUAGGUCGGGUGUGUAAGUGUAGCGAUACAUUGAGCUAACCGAUACUAAUGAACCGUGAGGCUUAACCUU